UACGUAGGGCGCAAGCGUUGUCCGGAAUUAUUGGGCGUAAAGAGCUCGUAGGCGGCCUGUCACGUCUGCUGUGAAAUCCCGGGGCUCAACCCCGGGCCUGCAGUGGAUACGGGCUGGCUGGAGGCAGGCAGGGGAGAACGGAAUUCCUGGUGUAGCGGUGAAAUGCGCAGAUAUCAGGAGGAACACCGGUGGCGAAGGCGGUUCUCUGGGCCUGUUCUGACGCUGAGGAGCGAAAGCGUGGGGAGCGAACAGG
rnacentral:rRNA from 1 species